CUGGGAUGCAGUGCCUUAGACCGCUGCGCCACUCAGGAUCCCAUAAAUAUAAUCAUCAUGACUGGACAUUAGGUGUACCAACAACAUUGACACACCAAACGUACUUUCCCUACCUCACAGUUACAUAUGGCUACACACACAGCAGACUAUGGUACUGUAGGUUACCACACAGAGAGGCCAGUUGUAAGGUUCUGUUCCUAAACCUAGCAGCAGAUACAGUGGCCUACCCUCCCCAUGGAGCAGGCUGACUGAUAAACAACAAGCCAGCUCACUGCAAUCCCCCAGGAUUCAUCUCUAAUGAGCAGUAAUGAUGACACUCAUUAGGAAAAGGAACAGUACAUGUAGCAGUACAGUUACCUGCUUGUUCCUGCUUUAAAGACUUAUUUGGCAUUGUCAUGCAUGAGGGGUUGCUGGCUAAAGCAGAAACAGAAAGGCUACCAAGGUACAUGCAUGGUGCAGUGGCAUGCUUCUGAACAUGAACAACAAUAGUUGAGUAUCCAUCCAAUGUAGCUAAAUAAGGGGUGCAUUCUAAAGAGAAAUGGCGUUACGGGGCAAACCACCACCUGCACGCAGAGCCAGAGCCAAAACAUCUGUUUAUUUUUCAAAUGACCAGAGGGUGGCAGCAGAAUCAAGAAAGCUAAAACCACCUAUGCAGCUACCGCGCUUUCGCAUGUCCGGUUAUGAUCCAGAUCGUGGAGCGAUAGAUACCGUAAUCCGCGCUAAUAAAGCACGUGUGAUACGCAAACGAACACUGGCUGAAACGAAUCAUGGACCAGCUUUAGUAGUAGUAGGCUAUACAUAUAUAUAUAUAUGUCCACAUGUUUGGUGUUAGAGGUUAUUAAUAGAUAAGAUAAGCCUACAGACUGACCCCUAUAGAUAAGGUAAGCCUACAGACUGUCCCCUAUAGAUAAGGUAAGCCUACAGACUGACCCCUAUAGAUAAGGUAAGCCUACAGACUGUCCCCUAUAGAUAAGGUAAGCCUACAGACUGUCCCCUAUAGAUAAGGUAAGCCUACAGACUGACCCCUAUAGAUAAGGUAAGCCUACAGACUGUCCCCUAUAGAUAAGGUAAGCCUACAGACUGUCCCCUAUAGAUAAGGUAAGCCUACAGACUGUCCCCUAUAGAUAAGGUAAGCCUACUGAGCCCAUGUGUUCUACAGUGAGCUCUCAACCAAGUGCAGCACUGUUCUUUUAAAGUUUUACACAUGAUAGUUUAAAAUGCUACAUAACAUCCUCUGGUAAAUUUGACACGGUGACUGCUCUAUUUUCAUUUUAUUUAGAAAUAUUAUUAACAUAAAUUGGCCGAAAUGCACUUCGAGAUGCGCAGUCGAGAACUUUCCAGACUCUCAGGAGGAACAGCCGGAGAAACGCCACCCCUCCAGCAAGUGGAGUGGGAUGCGCGUGUCAAAUUUGAAGUAGACUAGAGGCGGAGAGGGUAUAGGACUGCACGCGUCGGUAGAUAGCAGUGGGACUAGAGCACAUACCGGGCCCGGUACCAAAGGAUACACCCACCACGUAAGUUUAUUUUCAUUGUAGCCUGUCGGUUGGGUUGUGGAACGUAUAAUUCCGCUUUCAUAACGUUCCUAGUCUUUGGUAUGGAAUUGCAUCACAUGGUCAAGCGGUUGUAGGCUAUAGCAUCUUUUUUUUGUAUGGAAUAUAACCGAAAUAUCAGAGCCAUAUUUAGCCUAUAUAGCCUAUUUAUUUGGAUAUAUCCUACUGUUCUGAUAGACCCUAGAUUGUUUUUGGCCAGACGAUUUUCUGACCCAUCUCUAUAACCCUGUCGGGAGUUUCAGAAGCUACGCGCCCAGAUAAGGAACAGGUUGACGUUUGUCAUGAAUCUUGCCCUGGAGGCAGAACUGAGACAUGUCAGCUGCAAUGUCAACAUUUUUUCUUGCUUUUUGGUCUUCAUUUAACGUUACAUUAGGGUUAGCAGUGUGGUUAAGGUUAGGUUUUCAAAUCCGAUUUUAUGACUUUGUGGCUGUGCCAGCUAGUGAUCACUCUGCAGAGCUGCCUCCAGGGUAAGAUUCAUGACAAUAAAUGCCAACCUGCGGAUUGGGAAAGGAAUGAUUCGAACCACCUAUUCCCGGACGAUAGAGGCUCCAGAUCCCACGUUGCCAACAAACUGAGAGACCGUUAUGCAGUUUGUUGAUCUAUACAUAUAUUAACACUAUAAAUUAUUUCAACCCAAGAUUAACACCAAAGUUAACAUGGUACUGGUAAUUCUUUGUCUCUAUUCCACUGGAUGGUCAUUGUGAUGAGUCUGUGUAAUCCGGUGUAAUCCUCCUCUGCCUGUUUGUGUGAAUCUCUCUCUCUCUCUCUCUCUCUCUCUCUCUCUCUCUCUCUCGCUCUCUGUGUGUCUCUCUCUCUCUCUCUCUCAUCUCUCGAUCUUUCUCUUGGUUAUAUUUGCCUUUCUACAGUACUCUUUUCCUCCUCUCUCUCUCUCUCUCUCUCUCUCUCUCUCUCUCUCUCUCUCUCUCUCUCUCUCUCAGUUGCAAUGAAGGACGUGUGUUUCCAGUGUUAUCACACAAAAUGCCCAGAGGUGGCCAUAUUUUAUGAUCUUAAUGGUGAUCUGAACAAGAAUCUGCUGGUGCCAGGCCCUUUCCAGAAAUGCACCUCCACUCCCUAUCCUCCAUCUGGGAAGUGCACCAUGUGUCUCCAGGAUGAUUAUUCUUAUGCUUUGUGCAGAAGUGUGUCAGAGAGCCUCCAGCCUGCCCUGGAGGCCAACAGCACAGCUGUUACCAACUAUAAACAAACCAAUUGCUCUGCCAUUGGCAUCGCGUCAACUACUGUGAAUGGGGGUGAACUGUGGUGGUGUUUACUGAUCCUUGUCCUGGUCGUCAUUUGCAUUUGCAUUGGCAUUGCUUACUGGUGUAUCAAGAAGCGCAAAAUAAAUAGAAACCAUGUCGUAUGAGGGAGAAAGUGACAGGGACAGCACUCAGGACUACCCAUCCCUUAACCAAGCUGUUUGGACCAAACCACCAGAGACACGGACAACCCUCAGGACUACCCAUCCCUUAACCAAGCUGUUUGGACCAAACCACCAGAGACACGGACAACCCUCAGGACUACCCAUCCCUAAACCAAGCUAUUUGGACCCAACCACCAGAGACAGGGACAGCACUCAGGACUACCCAUCCCUUAACCAAGCUGUUUGGACCCAACCACCAGAGACACAGACAACCCUCAGGACUACCCAUCCCUAAACCAAGCUAUUUGGACCCAACCACCAGAGACAGGGACAGCACUCAGGACUACCCAUCCCUAAACCAAGCUGUUUGGACCAAACCACCAGAGACAGGGACAGCACUCAGGACUACCCAUCCCUUAACCAAGCUGUUUGGACCCAACCACCAGAGACACAGACAACCCUCAGGACUACCCAUCCCUUAACCAAGCUGUUUGGACCAAACCGACAGGGACAACCCUCAGGACUACCCAUCCCUUAACCAAGCUGUUUGGACCCAACCACCAGAGACAGGGACAACCCUCAGGACUACCCAUCCCUUAACCAAGCUAUUUGGACCCAACCACCAGAGACAGGGACAGCACUCAGGACUACCCAUCCCUUAACCAAGCUGUUUGGACCAAACCACCAGAGACAGGGACAACCCUCAGGACUACCCAAACCCCCAGAUCAGGAUGCUGCUGGAUUGUCUCUGCCUUCAUUCCAUCUCUUUAACUCUUCUUACAGUUGUAAUCUUUUUAUACAUUUUCAUAUUCAGAUUCCUGUAUAACAGUACCUGUAAACCAAUGCCUUGCAUAAUUUUUACUCUAAUUGUACUAACAUCAGCUGGCUGAAGCGAAGUCUUAGGAGUGCUAAUGGGAAUAAAUCAGGUUUAGGAAAAUGUCAUGCCACGCAAAGAAAAUGGUCUAAUUCACUACGUACUGUACCGUGAGUAUCACAAGUAUUCUGGAUAUGCUUGACAUCGGCAAAGACUGGGGAGUUGUUCAGGAUAAAAAUAAAUGGGAUGGAGCUAAGCCCAGGCAAAAUCCUAGUGUAAAACAUGCUUCAGUCUGCUUUACAUCAGACACUAGGAGAGGAAUUCACCCUUCAAUAACCUAUAACACAAGGCGAAAUCGACUUUGCAGUUGCUUACCAAGAAGACAGUGAAUGUUCCUGAGUGGCCAAGUUACAGUUUUGAUUUAAAUCUGCUUGAAAAUGUAGGGCAAGACUGAAUAAUUGCUGUCUAGCCAUGAUCCCCAACACCUUGACAGAGCUUGAAGAAUUUUGAAAAGAAUGAUGGGGAAAAUAUUGCACAUGUACCCAAGAAGACUAACAGCUGUAAUCCCUGCCAAAGGUGUUUCUAACAUGUAUUGGCUCAGGUGAAUACUUAUGUAAUCAAGGUAUAUUAGUGUUUUAUAUUUUUACAAAUGUUUUAUUUAAAAAAAUGUUUUAUUUUGGCAUGACAAGAGUAUUUUGUGUGGAUCAUUGACAAAAAAAUGACAAUGAAUUUCAUUUGAAUCCCAUAUUAUGUAAAGAAAUCCAAGGGAGUUGAAUGAUAGUGUAUUAUUAUAGUACUCUACUAAAGUGUUGGAGAUGCAGUGUGUCAGAAAAGGAUCAUGAAAUAUUAACUUCUCUUUUUUUAACUUUCUCAAAUAAAUUGAAAUUUUUAAUGUGUUGCAUUUACUGCCACCGUUCUGGUGUCACACAUAAUAUAUCUGGGUAUACACAUGUUUCAGCUGCGUCUAUCGCUCAUGUUUGAUACUCAUUGUUUUAUUGGAAGUAGAGUUUCUAUGCGCACCAGUGAAAUAGUUUUUAAACAUUUCCUAGAACAGUGAGGCUAUAGGCCUACUGGUAAAAUGAGGGAGUACUUCAGGCUCACUCCUGGCAGAGCAAAAUUCAGUUGGUGGAACAGUAAAACCAAAAAAGGUUGAACCACUGCCCUAAAUAAUUACAUUUCUCCUACAUAGACCUGUGUGACGGCAUGGAUGUACUUUAUUCAGCUGUCUGAAUAAUAUAAAUCCAGGUCUGUUGGCCUGGUAAACUUGCCUUUCCAGCUGUCUGAAUAAUAUAAAUCCUGGUCUGUUGGCCUGGUAAACUUGCCUUUCCAGCUGUCUGAAUAAUAUAAAUCCUGGUCUGUUGGCCUGGUAAACUUGCCUUUCCAGCUGUCUGAAUAAUAUAAAUCCAGGUCUGUUGGCCUGGUAAACUUGCCUUUCCAGCUGUCUGAAUAAUAUAAAUCCUGGUCUGUUGGCCUGGUAAACUUGCCUUUCCAGCUGUCUGAAUAAUAUAAAUCCUGGUCUGUUGGCCUGGUAAACUUGCCUUUCCAGCUGUCUGAAUAAUAUAAAUCCUUGUCUGUUGGCCUGGUAAACUUGCCUUUCCAGCUGUCUGAAUAAUAUAAAUCCUGGUCUGUUGGCCUGGUAAACUUGCCUUUCCAGCUGUCUGAAUAAUAUAAAUCCUGGUCUGUUGGCCUGGUAAACUUGCCUUUCCAGCUGUCUGAAUAAUAUAAAUCCUGGUCUGUUGGCCUGGUAAACUUGCCUUUCCAGCUGUCUGAAUAAUAUAAAUCCUGGUCUAUUGGCCUGGUAAACUUGCCUUUCCAGCUGUCUGAAUAAUAUAAAUCCUGGUCUGUUGGCCUGGUAAACUUGCCUUUCCAGCUGUCUGAAUAAUAUAAAUCCUGGUCUGUUGGCCUGGUAAACUUGCCUUUCCAGCUGUCUGAAUAAUAUAAAUCCAGGUCUGUUGGCCUGGUAAACUUGCCUUUCCAGCUGUCUGAAUAAUAUAAAUCCUGGUCUAUUGGCCUGGUAAACUUGCCUUUCCAGCUGUCUGAAUAAUAUAAAUCCAGGUCUGUUGGCCUGGUAAACUUGCCUUUCCAGCUGUCUGAAUAAUAUAAAUCCUGGUCUGUUGGCCUGGUAAACUUGCCUUUCCAGCUGUCUGAAUAAUAUAAAUCCAGGUCUGUUGGCCUGGUAAACUUGCCUUUCCAGCUGUCUGAAUAAUAUAAAUCCUGGUCUGUUGGCCUGGUAAACUUGCCUUUCCAGCUGUCUGAAUAAUAUAAAUCCUGGUCUGUUGGCCUGGUAAACUUGCCUUUCCAGCUGUCUGAAUAAUAUAAAUCCUGGUCUGUUGGCCUGGUAAACUUGCCUUUCCAGCUGUCUGAAUAAUAUAAAUCCUGGUCUGUUGGCCUGGUAAACUUGCCUUUCCAGCUGUCUGAAUAAUAUAAAUCCUGGUCUGUUGGCCUGGUAAACUUGCCUUUCCAGCUGUCUGAAUAAUAUAAAUCCAGGUCUAUUGGCCUGGUAAACUUGCCUUUCCAGCUGUCUGAAUAAUAUAAAUCCUGGUCUAUUGGCCUGGUAAACUUGCCUUUUCAGCAGUUACAGUAACAAAGGUGACACGGUUUACAAGCACUUGCAUUAACAUCUGCCAACCAUGUGUAUGUGACCAAUAACAUCUGCCAACCAUGUGUAUGUGACCAAUAACAUCUGCUAACCAUGUGUAUGUGAC